UACGAAGGGUGCAAACGUUGCUCGGAAUUAUUGGGCGUAAAGAGCUCGUAGGUGGCCUGUCGCGUCGGCUGUGAAAACUCGGGGCUCAACUCCGAGCUUGCAGUCGAUACGGGCAGGCUAGAGUUCGGCAGGGGAGACUGGAAUUCCUGGUGUAGCGGUGAAAUGCGCAGAUAUCAGGAGGAACACCGGUGGCGAAGGCGGGUCUCUGGGCCGAUACUGACACUGAGGAGCGAAAGCGUGGGGAGCGAACAGG
rnacentral:rRNA from 1 species